GGCAGAUAGCCGCUUAAUUCAGCCUCGGAGUCCUUUCCCACUCUGCUCCAGGGCCCCUGGAAACAGAAAAAUCAGAAAACUGUGAAAGGCAAGAACCAUCACACCUGAGUGGCCUUCAGGGAAAGCAGUUCUGCAGGGGGACCAGUGCAAUGGGAUUUGGCUGCGCAGCUUCCGUUGGCUGGUGAGAUUCACAGACAGGCUUUACUGAAUCUGAGGAACUGCAGAUCUUGCUGGCCUCGAUAGAGAUCUGGGCCGAGUUGGUUCCAGUUGCUUGCAAGAAACAAUGUGCCUGAUGCCCAUAGGUCUUCUACUGUGUUUCCUGCCACCUACAUACAGAGCAAACGAACGUGAAACUGCUGUGAAAAUCAGGGCUGCAUAAGGGCAUAAGGACACAACCCAGGUCUGCCCACAGAGCAUUCCUAAGAGCAAUUCCACGCAAAACAAAGACACUCUCCAGUUUUCUUUCUGUUUCUCCGGCUCCUCCCUUCUGGUCAAAUCCUGCAGCUACUCACAAGGGCCUCCCUCAGUGCCCCAGAAGACCCAAAGAGCUGCCUCUUCUCUCUUUCUUUCUGUAUUCCUUUGUCUGUCUUUCUGUGCAUCUGUUUCUGGCCCUGACUUCUCCCUUGUCUGUCUCUCUUUGGCUCUUUCUAUCCCUUGAAUCUUCGGAGGCCCUCCAGAGGCUGUGGUCUGGAAUGCAGGCUCUACCCAUAAGGAUCGCGCCCUCCUCCACCGCCACCACACCCUCAACGGAAGUUGCGGGUGCAGCAGGCCUCUGCAAGUGGAAAGCCUGGCACGCGAGCCAUGAGGAGCAAAGACUGUCACAAGGACUGUCUCUGAACCCAGAUGGGCCACCGCUGAGCUGUGUUCUCCCUGUCUCUUAUCCCAUCUCGGAUCCAUUUCCCGAGGGAGCCAACUUAAUCACAACUGCUACCUUGAGAGGUUGAGCCAUCUUUCUUGAGGCUUGUGUAUCAUUCAAAGUCACAGUCUUGAAACCUAAGAGCCCAGUUGUAACCUUGGAGAACUUCAGUCCUCCAAUGAGGAAAGAGGCUAGGCGGGAAAGAAAAAAGG
rnacentral:lncRNA from 1 species